CUGCAACACUCCUCAUUGAUAAUGGAGUCCCAGGCGAGCACUGUUGUGUUUAAAUAAACAAAAGGGGAAAAACUAACUCGCUUUUCAGAUAGGUUCCAGGAAGAUGACCAGUAACCAAUGGAGGAGCACAACCUUCUUCUAUCUAAUUCACAAGUGCACCCAAUUUAUAACAUGGCAGACCUGAGUUUCAAAGGUUGGCUUCAAAUUAUACCCACACUUUGUAAUGCUCUCCCAAAACUCUCUGGCACUCUGCUUCAAGCCAACAAAGAAAAAGAGAGGACCCAGUGCAUAUCCAGUGAGUGCAGCACAGUGGAAGGGACAUCAUACAUCAUUUGGACGUUGUGGAGUUUGUUUGUGCUGCUGCAUACUCUCUGACAGUUAAAUGUAAAACAAAGAGAAUUCUAAAAUUCUUUCUUAUCCACUUUCAUUAUCAGUUGUUUCUGCUAGUCAGCAAAUGUAUUGUAUUCAAAGACAGAUUGUGGGCCAGGCAGGAUUUAGAUAGUACAGCAGGGAGACAGCCAAAGCUGAAGAUGCAUGGCCUUGUCUGCAG